rnacentral:rRNA from 1 species
UACGUAGGGGCCGAGCGUUGUCCGGAGUUAUUGGGCGUAAAGCGCGCGCAGGCGGCCUCGCGCGCCCGACGUGAAAGCCCCCGGCUUAACCGGGGAGGGUCGUUGGGGACGGCGGGGCUUGAGGGCGGGAGAGGGUGGUGGAAUUCCCGGUGUAGUGGUGAAAUGCGUAGAGAUCGGGAGGAACACCCGUGGCGAAGGCGGUUCUCUGGGCCUUACCUGACGCUGAGGAGCGAAAGCGUGGGGAGCGAACAGG